GACCCCCCAAUAUCAGUGGGGGAGAUUACAGACUUGGGCUCAGAAAAAAGGUAGUAGGAUGGAAAACUCCAAGAGAUAAGAAUGUAGGAAUAGUAGUGAUGUACUACAAUGGGAAGUGUCUAGUUCUACUAGUUGAAUUCCAACUAUUUUUAUUUUUUCCGUCUGUUCAAGACUUAACUUCCAGGGACAAUGUGUCCCAGAAGCUUGGGUUAGAGCAUAUCUGCCCUUUAUAUAGAGAAGAACAGAGCACUGUAUUAUAGUCUUCGUUGGCUUGGGCCACUAUAAUAGAACAUCACAGGCUGGCUUCUUAAAUAACAAAAAUGUAUUUCCUCAUGGCUCCGGAGCCUGGAAGCCUGAGAUCAAGAUGCCAGCAUGGCUGUGUUCUGGUGCAGCGCCUCUAACUGGUUUGCAGAACGCCACCCUCUUGAUCCCCCAGAGGAGUCCUGGCAUUUAAGCACUUAGAGGAAAAUAUCUUUUGCUGUUCAGAAGGUGUUCCUGAGCAACUGGCAGCCACUGAACACCACCAGGAAGAUCCGAUGACUCCGAUAUUAUGCUCAGCAGAUGGG